UCACCCAUAGCUCAGUUUGGUUAGAGCGUCCGACUGUUAAUCGGGAGGUCGGCGGUUCGACCCCGCCUGGGUGAG